AACGAACGCUGGCGGCGCGCCUAAUACAUGCAAGUCGAGCGAGAAGACGUAGCAAUACGUUUGUAAAGCGGCGAACGGGUGAGGAAUACAUGGGUAACCUACCCUCGAGUGGGGAAUAACUAGCCGAAAGGUUAGCUAAUACCGCGUACGCUCCUUGGACUUCGGUUCAGGGAGGAAAGCGAUACCGUGGGUAUCGCGCUCUUGGAUGGGCUCAUGUCCUAUCAGCUUGUUGGUGAGGAACGGCUCACCAAGGCUUCGACGGGUAGCUGGUCUGAGAGGACGAUCAGCCACACUGGCACUGCGACACGGGCCAGACUCCUACGGGAGGCAGCAGUAAGGAAUAUUGCGCAAUGGGCGAAAGCCUGACGCAGCGACGCCGCGUGGGGGAUGAAGGUCUUCGGAUUGUAAACCCC
rnacentral:rRNA from 1 species